GCCGGCUUAGCUCAGUUGGUAGAGCAUCUGAUUUGAAUCAGAGGGUCGCGUGUUCAAGUCAUGUAGCCGGC
rnacentral:tRNA from 1 species